GUAUUGCUGAAUAGGGCGCCUACUCUGCAUAGAUUAGGCAUACAGGCGUUCCAGCCCAUUUUAGUAGAAGGACAUGCUAUUUGUUUACAUCCAUUAGUUUGUAAGGGAUUUAACGCAGACUUUGAUGGGGAUCAAAUGGCUGUUCAUGUACCUUUAUCUUUGGAGGCUCAGGCGGAGGCCCGUUUACUUAUGUUUUCUCAUAUGAAUCUCUUGUCUCCAGCUAUUGGGGAUCCUAUUUCCGUACCAACCCAAGAUAUGCUUAUCGGGCUCUAUGUAUUAACGAGCGGGAAUCGCCGAGGUAUUUGUGCAAAUAGGUAUAAUCCAUGUAAUCGCACAAAUUCUAAAAAUGAAAGGAUUGCCGAUAAUAAUUAUAAAUAUACGAACGAACCCUUUUUUUGUAAUUCCUAUGAUGCAAUUGGAGCUUAUCGGCAGAAAAGAAUCCAUUUAGAUAGUCCCUUGUGGCUCCGAUGGCAGCUAGAUCAACGUGUUAUUACUUCAAGUAGAAACUCCAUCGAAGUUCACUAUGAAUCUUUGGGUACCUCUCAUGAGAUUUAUGGGCACUAUGUAAUAGUAAGAAGUAUAAAAAAGAAGUUCUUUGUAUAUAUGUUCGAACCACAGUCGGUCUAUAUUUCUCUUUAUCGAGAAAUCGAAGAAGCUAUCCAAGGGUUUUGCCGAGCCUACUCGUAUGGUACCUAAUCAUAUCGUAUCUAAGCUAAGUAAUUCUAUGACACCCGUGUGAUUUUUGAUUUCUUCAGUUCAGCUAGGACCACAGUUCCUGAAUUUCUAUGCGAAUCAAGAUCGAGAAAAGGAAGUUUUCCACUCACUGACUCAAACCCAUUGUCGAACUCCACUCAGCGGAAUAGGGAGGUACUUAUGGCAGAACGGGCCAGUCUGGUUUUUCACAAUAAAGUGAUCGAUGGAACCGCUAUUAAACGACUUAUUAGUAGAUUAAUAGAUCACUUCGGAAUGGCAUAUACAUCACACAUCUUGGAUCAAGUAAAGACUCUGGGAUUCCGACAAGCCACUGCUACAUCCAUUUCAUUAGGAAUUGAUGAUCUUUUAACAAUACCUUCUAAGGGGUGGCUAGUCCAAGAUGCCGAACAACAAAGUUUGAUUUUGGAAAAACACCAUCAUUAUGGU